AGCGUCGGAGGUUGCCAAAGUUACAAAGUUUACUUUAAGGAUAUAAUUCCUCAGAUUGGAAACCUGUAAGGAUGAAGAACCUCACCUUACUCGUCCUCUUUUGCUUUCUGUCCCUGGUAAUUGUUGACCCGGUCGUUAGUCAGGGUUAUUGUUCAACGACUUGUCGAGACUGUAACAGGUACUGUAGGAAGCAGGAUUACGCCAAAGCAAUCUGCCGACGAUCAGACUUCUGUCCGCGAGAUAUCCCAAACAGAUGUGAUUGCUUCUUUAGAAAGUGGCAUGCUUGAUGAAACAAGGAAUAACAUGCAAUAUGAACAUUGACUAUAUUAUAGAAUAUAAUAAUAUUUAUAAAAACAAAUGUAAAUCGUGUUUUAAGAAUAAAUGCAUAAUAUUAUUCAA